AACGCAUCUUGCGCUCCUUGGUAUUCCGAGGAGCAUGCCUGUUUGAGUGUCAUUUGACUUAUCAACCGCUUCAUGGUGAACAUGGACGUGGCUUUGGAUGUGGGGGUCUUUGCAGGCUUUUUGAAUCUAAAGGUCAGCUCCCCUGAAAUGCAUUAGUGGCAUCUGAGCUGCUACUAUAGGUGUGAUAAAUUAUCUAUGCCUUUGGUAUGCUGCAUGAACGGAUUGCGCUGCUUACAACGAUGAAAAUAAUUUGACAAACUUGACCUCAAAUCAGGUAGGACUACCCGCUGAACUUAA
rnacentral:misc_RNA from 1 species